rnacentral:tRNA from 1 species
UCCCUGGUGGUCCAGAGGUUAGGACUUGGCACUUUCACUGCCGAGGGCCCGGGUUCGAUCCCUGGCCAGGGAA